rnacentral:rRNA from 1 species
UACCCCUCCAUAAAUGGUGCCGGCCAGAGGACUUGAACCCCCAACCUACUGAUUACAAGUCAGUUGCUCUACCAAUUGAGCUAGGCCGGCUAAGAAAUGGUUCAGGACAGAGUCGAACUGCCGACACAUGGAGCUUCAAUCCAUUGCUCUACCAACUGAGCUACUGAACCAUAAUAAAAAUGUAAUGAUGGCGGUCUCGACGGGAAUCGAACCCGCGAUCUCCUGCGUGACAGGCAGGCGUGUUAACCGCUACACUACGAGACCUAUUAAAUUAAAAACUAUGUAUUGCGGGAGGCGGAUUUGAACCACCGACCUUCGGGUUAUGAGCCCGACGAGCUACCGAACUGCUCCAUCCCGCGAUAAUAAAAAAUAAUGGCGGAGGAAGAGGGAUUCGAACCCCCGCGGCCCGUUAAGGCCCUGUCGGUUUUCAAGACCGAUCCCUUCAGCCGGACUUGGGUAUUCCUCCAUUAUUAUAGGUAAAUCGCUAUUAAUUAUAAAAUUAAAUGGCGGUCUCGACGGGAAUCGAACCCGCGAUCUCCUGCGUGACAGGCAGGCGUGUUAACCGCUACACUACGAGACCAUUAGUAAAACGGAGGAAGAGGGAUUCGAACCCCCGCGAGCCGUUAAGCCCCUGUCGGUUUUCAAGACCGAUCCCUUCAGCCGGACUUGGGUAUUCCUCCAAAAUUAUAUGGACCUUGCAGGACUCGAACCUGCGACCGAACGGUUAUGAGCCGUUAGCUCUAACCAACUGAGCUAAAGGUCCUAAAUAUAAUUUUACAACUAAUAAAUAGUGGCGGUGGAGGGGAUCGAACCCCCGACCUCACGGGUAUGAACCGUACGCUCUAGCCAGCUGAGCUACACCGCCUUAUAUAGUUUGUAAAUAAUAUGGUGGAGACUAGCGGGAUCGAACCGCUGACCUCCUGCGUGCAAAGCAGGCGCUCUCCCAGCUGAGCUAAGCCCCCAUAAUAAUUACAGUAUAUCGGGAAGACAGGAUUCGAACCUGCGACCCCUUGGUCCCAAACCAAGUGCUCUACCAAGCUGAGCUACUUCCCGUAUAAUUAACGCGCCCGAUAGGAGUCGAACCCAUAACCUCUUGAUCCGUAGUCAAACGCUCUAUCCAAUUGAGCUACGGGCGCAUAUGUUUUUAUUGAAAAUGGUGCCGAGGACCGGAAUCGAACCGGUACGGUGAUCACUCACCGCAGGAUUUUAAGUCCUGUGCGUCUGCCAGUUCCGCCACCCCGGCACUAUAAAAAUGGAGCAGAAGACGGGAUUCGAACCCGCGACCCSAWYSACUAAGGUUUCCAGAGGAAGGCUCGUCCGCUCUGGGUUAGUCGGGUCCUAAGCUGAGGCCGACAGGCGUAGGCGAUGGAUAACAGGUUGAUAUUCCUGUACCACCUAUAAUCGUUUUAAUCGAUGGGGGGACGCAGUAGGAUAGGCGAAGCGUGCGAUUGGAUUGCACGUCUAAGCAGUAAGGCUGAGUAUUAGGCAAAUCCGGUACUCGUUAAGGCUGAGCUGUGAUGGGGAGAAGACAUUGAGUCUUCGAGUCGUUGAUUUCACACUGCCGAGAAAAGCCUCUAGAUAGAAAAUAGGUGCCCGUACCGCAAACCGACACAGGUAGUCAAGAUGAGAAUUCUAAGGUGAGCGAGCGAACUCUCGUUAAGGAACUCGGCAAAAUGACCCCGUAACUUCGGGAGAAGGGGUGCUCUUUAGGGUUAACGCCCAGAAGAGCCGCAGUGAAUAGGCCCAAGCGACUGUUUAUCAAAAACACAGGUCUCUGCUAAACCGUAAGGUGUAUAGGGGCUGACGCCUGCCCGGUGCUGGAAGGUUAAGAGGAGUGGUUAGCUUCUGCGAAGCUACGAAUCGAAGCCCCAGUAAACGGCGGCCGUAACUAUAACGGUCCUAAGGUAGCGAAAUUCCUUGUCGGGUAAGUUCCGACCCGCACGAAAGGCGUAACGAUUUGGGCACUGUCUCAACGAGAGACUCGGUGAAAUCAUAGUACCUGUGAAGAUGCAGGUUACCCGCGACAGGACGGAAAGACCCCGUGGAGCUUUACUGUAGCCUGAUAUUGAAAUUCGGCACAGCUUGUACAGGAUAGGUAGGAGCCUUUGAAACGUGAGCGCUAGCUUACGUGGAGGCGCUGGUGGGAUACUACCCUAGCUGUGUUGGCUUUCUAACCCGCACCACUUAUCGUGGUGGGAGACAGUGUCAGGCGGGCAGUUUGACUGGGGCGGUCGCCUCCUAAAAGGUAACGGAGGCGCUCAAAGGUUCCCUCAGAAUGGUUGGAAAUCAUUCAUAGAGUGUAAAGGCAUAAGGGAGCUUGACUGCGAGACCUACAAGUCGAGCAGGGUCGAAAGACGGACUUAGUGAUCCGGUGGUUCCGCAUGGAAGGGCCAUCGCUCAACGGAUAAAAGCUACCCCGGGGAUAACAGGCUUAUCUCCCCCAAGAGUUCACAUCGACGGGGAGGUUUGGCACCUCGAUGUCGGCUCAUCGCAUCCUGGGGCUGUAGUCGGUCCCAAGGG